rfam:Leptonema illini DSM 21528 genomic scaffold Lepilscaffold_1, whole genome shotgun sequence.
GAGUCGAUAGCUCAGUCGGUAGAGCAUCUCCCUUUUAAGGAGAGGGUCCCGGGUUCGAGCCCCGGUCGACUCA